AAUCAACGCUGGCGACGUGCCUAACACAUGCAAGUCGAACGAGAAAGUGGAGCAAUCCAUGAGUAAAGUGGCGACCGGGUGAGUAACACGUGACUAACCUACCUUCGAGUGGGGGAUAACCUCGGGAAACCGAGGCUAAUACCGCAUAACAUCGCAAGAUCAAAGCAGCAAUGCGCUUGAAGAGGGGGUCGCGGCUGAUUAGCUAGUUGGCGGGGUAACGGCCCACCAAGGCGAAGAUCGGUAUCCGGCCUGAGAGGGCGCACGGACACACUGGAACUGAAACACGGUCCAGACUCCUACGGGAGGCAGCAGUGGGGAAUUUUGCGCAAUGGGGGAAACCCUGACGCAGCAACGCCGCGUGGAGGAUGAAGCCCCUUGGGGCGUAAACUCCUUUCGACCAAGACGAUAAUGACGGUACUGGUGGAAGAAGCACCGGCUAACUCUGUACCAGCAGCCGCGGUAAUACAGAGGGUGCGAGCGUUGUUCGGAAUUAUUGGGCGUAAGGGUGCGUAGGCGGUUUGGUAAGUCUCGUGUGAAAUCUAUGGGCUCAACUCAUAGUCUGCACGAGAAACUGCCG
rnacentral:rRNA from 1 species